GGAAAAACUAUGAUCCUCCACUAAACUAGAAGAAGAAGAAGAUCUCUGCAUCCGGUACGUCACGGACUAGGUCACGUGUCUUGGCCCCAUAACGCGGAAGCAAAUCGCUCCUGUAUGUUACCCUGCGCCACUGAGCAGUUUGUAUAGGAAUGAAUGGGCGGCCAUUUUCCAGGCUGUGGUCCAUCCUUUAUUAUGUCCAUGAUGUUACCCUGCGCCACUGAGCAGUUUGUAUAGGAAUGAAUGGGCGGCAAUUUUCCAGACUGUGGUCCAUCCAGCUGCAGCCCCGGGGAACAACACUCUGGCGUGACAACCAUAGGUGACAACAACCCUGGCGCGACGGAAGUACUCUGGCGUAACUUUUUUUUUUUUACACACCGCUAAAUUGGAUAUCAAAGAUGAACCAUGGAAGAAUCGAACCGGUGUCUCCAGAACAGAUCCUCAACAGCUCUAUCACCUGCGCCACAGAGACACCAACUUAGAAUCGGAGAGAGUUAAUUGUUGACCCUACAAUACACAUGACAUUGUUGGAAAAAGACUCCAAACCAAGGUGAGUGUUCCUGCCAGGAUUUGAACCCAGGUCAUAUACACGACUCAAGAACAGAACACAUACAGCUCUAUCCACUGCCCCACUGGGUCAGUCUUAAACAGAGUUCAUAAUUGACUUAACAAUUCACAAGAAGCAAUGUCGCGUGAAAUUGAAUGUCAAUAAUCACAUUCUUAUUAGCGUGCGG
ensembl:lncRNA